AGAGUUUGAUCCUGGCUCAGAACGAACGCUGGCGGCAGGCUUAACACAUGCAAGUCGAACGAUAUAGUGGCAGACGGGUGAGUAACGCGUGGGAACAUGCCUAUCGGUAUGGAAUAGCUUCUGGAAACGGAAGGUAAUACCAUAUACGUCCUAAGGGAGAAAGAUUUAUCGCCGAUAGAUUGGCCCGCGUUAGAUUAGUUUGUUGGUGGGGUAACGGCCUACCAAGACUACGAUCUAUAGCUGGUCUGAGAGGAUGAUCAGCCACACUGGAACUGAGACACGGUCCAGACUCCUACGGGAGGCAGCAGUGGGGAAUCUUGCACAAUGGGCGAAAGCCUGAUGCAGCCAUGCCGCGUGAAUGAUGAAGGCCUUAGGGUUGUAAAAUUCUUUCGCUAGGGACGAUAAUGACGGUACCUAGUAAAGAAGCCCCGGCUAACUUCGUGCCAGCAGCCGCGGUAAUACGAAGGGGGCUAGCGUUGUUCGGAAUUACUGGGCGUAAAGCGCUCGUAGGCGGAUUAACAAGUUGGAGGUGAAAUCCCGGCGCUCAACGUCGGAACUGCCUUCAAAACUGUUAGUCUAG
rnacentral:rRNA from 1 species